rnacentral:lncRNA from 1 species
CAGAUUAAAAAAAAAUAAUGAAUAGGUAACAACGCUAAAGAUGAAUAUAACCGGUAGGAGAGUUAAAGAUGAAUAUACCAGGUAACAAUAAAUAAGGUUAAACAUUAAAUACCCGUCCGGGUGACAUGCAUAUGAUUAGAGAUGAAUAUACCCGGUAAAAAAAUUAUAAAAUCGAAUAUACCCGGUAAAUUUUUUAAAGAUGAAUAAACGAACAAGGGC